UGCGGUGGUAGCUUAUUGAUUAAACCUUUUAUGGCAUGUGGUUGUUGGGGGCAGAGAACAAAGGCUCAUUCUACCAGGAGCUUGAAACUUGUAGAGCACAAAGCCUUUUGCACCGACGAGACAAGCUAAAACCACCCUCUGCAAAACCGCUGUGGCAUAUACAUAGAUACGCAUAACACGAAUAUCUAUCGUACGCCUAGCUGAUUUUUAACGUACGCCCACAACUGGCAAAGUUUGGCAACUGAAAAAUCUGGAGGACCACUAUCUACAACAGAAGCUACUCUUGUCUUGCCGUACUAAUUAGCUGAGUGUGUUCAGAGUUGCAGGCGUUGAGAGAGAGAUAUUGAAAGAUAGGUUCUUUACCUUCUUCUUUGACCAAAAGCUUGCAGUAUAGUACUCUCGUAUUCACGUAGCAGUUUCUGAUUCAAACAAGGCUCAGACGGAGUGAGACGAACAACAAAUUGUGACGAUAUAGAAGACUUUUUUGGGAUUCUUGAAUUUUCUUUCUUUCUUUCAAAGUUGAAAGGGCUCCAGAGCUCUUCUGCCAAGAAUCAAACAUGGCAAAUCGCUGGUG
rnacentral:misc_RNA from 1 species